AGUUUUGUUGUGAACAUUCCAAGCGUGAACAAUUUACAACAACUAAUAGAAUCCUUUUCUCAUUAACAUAUUUUGACAAUUUAACAUAUUCGCCAAGCCCCAUAUUGGUGUUAAGUUGGCCUCAGGAUAGCACCUAAAGAAGUUUGGUACAAGAGUGCCCUAGUUCUGUUGAAUAUUUCAGGACUACCAUGAGGUUGACGAUCUGGUAGAGUUCUGCGCCAUCGAAAGUCAACAUGUUAGCCAUUGUUCGCUGGCUGCCCGCGAUCUCAUGCAGUCUACUGCUGACCAGUAUUGUCGUCUCAUACUCGUGCGCCGUGGGUCUAGGUCAGGUUCACCCGCUGUUUCCCAAGAUCAGUUUGACCGCCGCUUACGAGCCAGGUGGCUCUAUAUUCAGCCUCGUUCUUAUACUUGAUGUCAUAGCAACACUGCUGUUGAUAUCCCUGUAUCACUUACACGUCAGCACGAUUGCUAGAGAA